rnacentral:rRNA from 1 species
UAGGGAAUCUUCCGCAAUGGACGCAAGUCUGACGGAGCAACGCCGCGUGAGUGAAGAAGGAUCUCGGUUCGUAAAACUCUGUUGUUAGAGAAGAACAGCGCAUAGAGUAACUGUUAUGCGUGUGACGGUAUCUAACCAGAAAGCCACGGCUAACUACGUGCCAGCAGCCGCGGUCAUACGUAGGUGGCAAGCGUUGUCCGGAUUUAUUGGGCGUAAAGCGAGCGCAGGCGGUCAAUUAAGUCUGAUGUGAAAGCCCCCGGCUCAACCGGGGAGGGUCAUUGGAAACUGGUUGACUUGAGUGCAGAAGAGGAGAGGGGAAUUCCAUGUGUAGGGGUGAAAUGCGUAGAUAUAUGGAGAAACACAAGUGGCGAAGGCGACUCUCUGGUCUGUAACUGACGCUGAGGCUCGAAAGCGUGGGUAGCAAACAGG